CUCCAGACUCCUACGGGAGGCAGCAGUGGGGAAUAUUGCACAAUGGGGGGAACCCUGAUGCAGCGACGCCGCGUGGGUGAGGAAGUACCCCGGUAUGUAAAGCCCUUUCGGCAGGGAAGAAAAUGACGGUACCUGACCAAGAAGCCCCGGCUAACUACGUGCCAGCAGCCGCGGUAAUACGUAGGGGGCAAGCGUUAUCCGGAAUUACUGGGUGUAAAGGGAGCGUAGACGGUGAUGCAAGUCUGGAGUGAAAGGCGGGGGCCCAACCCCCGGACUGCUCUGGAAACUGUAUGACUUGAGUGCAGGAGAGGUAAGCGGAAUUCCUAGUGUAGCGGUGAAAUGCGUAGAUAUUAGGAGGAACACCAGUGGCGAAGGCGGCUUACUGGACUGUAACUGACGUUGAGGCUCGAAAGCGUGGGGAGCAAACAGGAUUAGAUACCCUGGUA
rnacentral:rRNA from 1 species